rnacentral:snRNA from 1 species
UUGUUUUGGCAGGGGAGACAUCAUGGUCACAUAAGUGGUAUACACAGGGUGAGGCUCAUCCAUUGCAUUCUGAGUGUACUGACCCUGAGAUUUCCCCAAAUGUCAGAAACCUGGCUGAAUAAGUUGUGGUAGUUGGAGACUGCGUUCCUCUAG